UUUGAUAGUUAUGCAUUCUUCAUCAGAAACUCAAUAUCUGGCCCAUACGAACUAUUCAUCUUCCUGUUUUCUUCGAGAUGUAGCAUAAUCCUCCUCCACCACUGUCAACCAUCAAAGCUCUUCAUAUCUUCGUCUGUCUUCAUAUCUUUAACUCCCCUAUGGCACCCAAACGCUUCGCAUCCACCAAACUCUUCGUAUAUAUACAACCAACCCAUUCUGUGGAUAAGAGAGUUGAAGAAAAAAGAAUCUUACUACUUUAUUCUAAUCUCUCCAUGCUCUGCUUUCCACAAAAAUUGUUUAAGCGAUAUUGAAGUGUAUUGGUCUUGAUUGGUUAAGUUUCAGGUCUCGGAGGCGGCUGCAUCAGAUAGAAAUAUAAUUAAUGUGGAUGUGCUCUGAUUCUAGAAUUGCAGUAGAGAAGAAGAAAGUCACCGGAGAUCCAGGAAAAUUGGAACGUUUCGUUAUUGCGGAAAAGCUUCGUCGGAGAUGUAAACUUGGAUUCAUCAUGUCUCGAAUUGAAGCGUUGAAGGCUUUUGUUAGAUUUCAAGAUUAAUAAAUUUGUAAAGUUCCAGAUGACAAUGAUACAUUUUGUUAAAAUGUUUAUGGUCGCGUAAACUGAACUGAAAUCUUUAUGGUAUGAAGCGUUCCUGUUCAAACAACUAAGCUAAUUACAUUAUCAUCGACUGAAGACAUGCAGAGAGGGAGAGAACAAUAAAGAAAGACGGGCAAGGAGGAGACAUAACGAGUUGGAAGAAAAAUUGGGGAAAAGUUGAUGAUGCUGCCCGCUUCAUUCUUUAAUGUAAAGGCACAUGGUGGCACUGUGGGCCUCCCUACUGAGUCCACGUACGAUUUCAAGUUCUGAGGAUGGGCUGCCAUGUAUCGUGCUUGUGGGAGGAGCAGCCGGCACGUUUUACUCAUACAGCCUUCUCUCCCUACGUUUUAUUCACAGUGGAAAGCACAUGGAAACCGAUGUCUUGGAAUGAUCCCCUUUCCGGGCAUACCGGUUCAAUAGUUCUUUUAUAAUUUUUUUGGUAUUCCAUCCCCUAUUUUUAUGCGAGCUCUAUCUUUCUUCUUCUGUGUGAUGGGGCUAUGGCUUUUUAAAGUAACGUGACUUACAUGCAUGUUGUCUACAAAAAGAGAGUCGAAAAAAGCCUUACAAGAGGAACCAGCUGUAGAAGAUGAUAACAAGGAAAUAGCAAACAUGGAAGAGGUUGAUAAUGGAAACUCAAUUAUCGAGGGUCUAGAUGGAAACUCAGCUCAAAGUCUUUGUUAUAAUACUGUUAUUCAUUUGCAUCUUUUAAUUUUCUUCUGAUGCGAGUUAUGAAUUUAGAUGUGUUUCUUUGUAACUGAACAUGCUGUGGAGAGAAUUAAUUAGCGAUUUAGAGGA